rnacentral:rRNA from 1 species
UACGAAGGGUGCAAACGUUGCUCGGAAUUAUUGGGCGUAAAGCGCACGUAGGCGGCUAUCUAAGUCGGAUGUGAAAUCCCUCGGCUUAACCAAGGAAGUGCACCCGAAACUGGAUAGCUUGAGUACAGAAGAGGAUCGCGGAAUUCCCGGUGUAGAGGUGAAAUUCGUAGAUAUCGGGAGGAACACCAGUGGCGAAGGCGGCGAUCUGGGUAGAUACUGACGCUGAGGUGCGAAAGCGUGGGGAGCAAACAGG